GGGAGCCGGGAGUGCCUGAAGGCCGUGACCGCAAGGAGCGGCCUAAGGUAAAACUGGUGACUGGGGCUAAGUCGUAACAAGGUAGCCGUACCGGAAGGUGCGGCUGGAACACCUCCUUUCUGGAGC
rnacentral:rRNA from 1 species